rnacentral:rRNA from 1 species
GAUGAACGCUAGCGGGAGGCUUAAUACAUGCAAGUCGAGGGGUAACAGGGGCUUCGGCCCGCUGACGACCGGCGCACGGGUGAGUAACGCGUACGCAACUUACCUCCAAGCGAGGGAUAGCCCUGGGAAACUGGGAUUAAUACCUCAUGUGAUUAUGAUGCCGCAUGGUGUUAUAAUUAAAGUUCAGGCGCUUGGAGAUGGGCGUGCGUCCUAUUAGCUAGUUGGUGAGGUAACGGCUCACCAAGGCGACGAUAGGUAGGGGGCGUGAGAGCGUGGCCCCCCACACGGGUACUGAGACACGGACCCGACUCCUACGGGAGGCAGCAGUAAGGAAUAUUGGACAAUGGGCGGCAAGCCUGAUCCAGCCAUCCCGCGUGCAGGAUGACAGCCCUACGGGUUGUAAACUGCUUUUGUUAGGGAAGAAACCCCUCGAUUUAUCGGGGGCGUGACGGUACCUUUCGAAUAAGCACCGGCUAACUCCGUGCAGCAGCCGCGGUAAAGU